GAUGAACGCUGGCGGCGUGCCUAAUACAUGCAAGUCGAGCGAACGGACGAGAAGCUUGCUUUUCUGAUGUUAGCGGCGGACGGGUGAGUAACACGUGGAUAACCUACCUAUAAUACUGGGAUAACUUCGGGAAACCGGAGCUAAUACCGGAUGAUAUUUUGAACCGCAUGGUUCAAAAGUGAAAGACGGUCUUGCUGUCACUUAUAGAUGGAUCCGCGCUGCAUUAGCUAGUUGGUAAGGUAACGGCUUACCAAGGCAACGAUGCAUAGCCGACCUGAGAGGGUGAUCGGCCACACUGGAACUGAGACACGGUCCAGACUCCUACGGGAGGCAGCAGUAGGGAAUCUUCCGCAAUGGGCGAAAGCCUGACGGAGCAACGCCGCGUGAGUGAUGAAGGUCUUCGGAUCGUAAAACUCUGUUAUUAGGGAAGAACAUAUGUGUAAGUAACUGUGCACAUCUUGACGGUACCUAAUCAGAAAGCCACGGCUAACUACGUG
rnacentral:rRNA from 1 species